AUUGAACGCUGGCGGCAGGCCUAACACAUGCAAGUCGAGCGAGCGGCGGACGGGUGAGUAAUGUAUGGGGACUGCCCGAUAGAGGGGGAUAACUACUGGAAACGGUGGCUAAUACCGCAUACUAUCGGAUAACCCAUAUGGGAUUAGCUAGUAGGUGAGGUAAUGGCUUACCUAGGCGACGAUCCCUAGCUGGUCUGAGAGGAUGAGCAGCCACACUGGGACGGAGGAACGGCCCCAACUCCUACGGAGGCAGCAGGGGGGAAUAUUGCACAAUGGGCGCAAGCCUGAUGCAGCCAUGCCGCGUGUAUUAAGAAGGCCCUAGGGUUGUAAAGUACUUUCAGUCGGGAGGCGUUACCGACAGAAGAAGCACCGGCUAACUCCGUGCCAGCAGCCGCGGUAAUUC
rnacentral:rRNA from 1 species